rnacentral:rRNA from 1 species
UACGGAGGGGGCUAGCGUUGUCCGGAUUUACUGGGCGUAAAGAGCGCGCAGGCGGUCGUUCAAGUCGCGUGUGAAAGCCCCCGGCUCAACUGGGGAGGGUCACGCGAUACUGAUCGACUCGAAGGCAGGAGAGGGUAGUGGAAUUCCCGGUGUAGUGGUGAAAUGCGUAGAUAUCGGGAAGAACACCCGUGGCGAAGGCGGUUCUCUGGGACGGUACUGACGCUGAGACGCGAAAGCGUGGGGAGCGAACAGG